rnacentral:lncRNA from 1 species
CGUGCUUCUACAUCUGCAUUGCUUGCUGUUUGGAGUUUUAGGCUGGGUUACUGUACAGCGCUUUGUGACAUCAGGUGAUGUAAAAAGGGCUUUAUAAAUAAAUGUGAUUGAUUGAUUGACCUGUACAAGGGCCAAACACCAGUAGAGGGCAGUGUCUUUCCACUAUGUCCAAUCCUCCUCUCGGACACAAAACUCUCUUUUAAUAAACAAUAUAACAAGACAAUAAUAUUACAAGAUAUUCCAAUAAAUCACACAUAGCUCUCAUUCAGCAAACACCUCUAAAUAUCAUAACUUUGUAAUGAACUCUACACUUGCACUCUCUAAUGUCUCUCCUCUCACCCAUCUCUAUAAAGACUUCUCUUAUCUUCACCUUUCCUCAAGCUCAUCAAACCGCAUUCUUCUUUUUGUCCCAUUAUGUAAAAACAACAUACCACACAAUGCUAAUUGUAAAGGUAUAAGGAUGAAAUGAACAGUUACCUCACGUCAACACAUGGAGAGAAAGCAUUGUCUAUUGAUAAGUACAUAUUUGUGUAGGAAAGAAAAGAAAAACAAGUAGACUAAGAUAAACUAAGGAGAUAAAACAGUUGCAAUGACAGAAUACUAAAGUGUCAAGACAGGUCAGGUAAUGAAACCAGACAGGGAAUAAUUGAACUCUCUCUCGCUCUCUCAACGGUGAUGGUAACAAAGUCAAACAUUCGUCUGACAGUAUGCAGUGCAGGUAGAGACCAGUACUAUUUACAGCACGGAAAUAUCACAACACACCACUAACUACUCAAAAGAAGUAGGGGAGGGUUUGAAACAGAAUGCAGUGACAGGUCUGGUUAGAGUGUGCUAAAAAGUUAUUAGCAGAACAAUUGCAGCAAUGUGCAACACCUCUCUCUAGUUAGGAUCUGAUCAACAACAACUAAUUUCUGAACCGUCCUCCAUUUCCCAGUGAAGGAACAUAGACCUACCAUCUCUAUUUUUACUUCUGCACCACUGUCUCAGGUGUCUACUAGCGAUUGUUUGUCACAAAAAUCUGUACCCAUGAACACAGUUUUAAUAACAAACAUUUAGGGUACUUCUAUAGGUGUUUUAAAGUAGUUAGGGACCUUCUACAGUUUUUUAAAGUAGUUAUGGAACUUCUAUAGGUGUUUUAUAGUAGUCAGGCUACUACUAUAUGUGUUUUAAAAUAGUUAGUCUACUUCUAUCGGUGUUUUUAAGUAGUUAUGGUACUUCUAGAGGUGUUUUAAAGUUGUUAUGGUACAUCUACUCGUCUUGGCACAGUAUAGACUACUUCUAUAUGUGUUUUAAAGUAGUUAGAGUUCUUCUAUAGGAGUUUUAAAGUAGUUAGGGUACUUCAAUAGGUGCUUUAAUGAAGUUAGGGUACUUCUAUAGUCUUUAAAAAAAGUAUUUAGCGUACCCCUAUACGUGUUUUAAUGUAGUUAUGGUACUUCUAUAGGUGUUUUAAAGUAGUUAGGUUACUUCUAUAGGUGUUUUAAAGUAGUUAUGGUAAUUCUACUGGUCUUGGUACAGUACAGGCUACUUCUAUAGGUGUUUUAAAGUAGUUAGGGUACUUCUAUAUUUGUUUUAAAGUAGUUAGGCUACUUCUAUAGGUGUUUUAAUGUAGUUAUGGUACUUCUAUAGAUGUUUUAAAGUAGUUAGGUUACUUCUAUAGGUGUUUUAUAGUAGUUAGGUGUGGCAAAGAAGGGGGUCGAGUGAUAAAUGGCAGAUAUGUGAGGGCAGAACUAAUAAAAGGGCUCUGCCCGAUCACUAAAAUGGCCACCCCGAUCAGAACUACAGAUCACAAAAUGGCCGACAAUUCCCAGAAGCAAGGGUAACCCUCAGAAGGUGGAGCCGACCCACAGAUAAAAGGUCAAGAAAAACCAGGAGGGGAGGGAGGGAGAGAGAGAGAGAGAGAGA